rnacentral:rRNA from 1 species
GAUUAACGCUGGCGGCGUGCCUAACACAUGCAAGUCGAACGAGGUAGCAAUACCUAGUGGCAGACGGGUGAGUAACGCGUGGUCAACCUACCCUAGAGUGGGGGAUAACUAGCCGAAAGGUUAGCUAAUACCGCAUGAAACGUGCCGGGGCAUCUCGGAAUGUUGAAAGGAGCAAUCCGCUCAAGGACGGGACCGCGUCCCAUUAGCUAGUUGGUGGGUAACGCCUACAAGGCACCGAUGGGANCUGGUUUGAGAGAGCGACCAGCCACACUGGGACUGAGAAACGGCCCAGACUCCUACGGGAGGCAGCAGUGAGGAAUUUUCCGCAAUGGGCG